UACGAAGGGGGCUAGCGUUGCUCGGAAUCACUGGGCGUAAAGCGCACGUAGGCGGCUUUUUAAGUCAGGGGUGAAAUCCUGGAGCUCAACUCCAGAACUGCCUUCGAUACUGGAAGACUUGAGUCCGGGAGAGGUGAGUGGAACUGCGAGUGUAGAGGUGAAAUUCGGUAGAUAUUCGCAAGAACACCAGUGGCGAAGGCGGCUCACUGGCCCGGUACUGACGCUGAGGUGCGAAAGCGUGGGGAGCAAACAGG
rnacentral:rRNA from 1 species